GUGGGGAGUCUGCGCUUCUCCUUCCUCGACCUAGUUAGGCUGAGCGUGGGAGCGGGAAGGAGGGCCCAGCGGGAGGGACGCGCUCGCUGGACGCUGCUCGGCAGCCUCCCUCCCUCCUCUGCCGGCCCAAGGGUCGGGUCAGUUGGUGGCAGCUGGCAAGCCCAGCGUUUUCUGGGCUCGGUGGGGCAGCCCAGGCCAGGUGCAGAUGGCUCAGCUGGGGUGCGUGUGUGUCCCCACGGCAUGGCUCGCUGAUGUCCCCCAGCGCUGCUGGCCUGGCCCACUGGGGUGGAUGGAAAGCUACUCCAGGGAGAAGUCGGAUUCUUAAAGGCCUGCUGGACGACAGGUGAUUUCACGCCAAGGUCCCGGGUCGGCAGAGGGACGGGGUGGGGGGGAUGGUUUCUGCUGACCCAGCUCUCCUGGCCCUGGCCAGCACCUCCAGCCUGAGAUGCCUGCUUCCCU
rnacentral:lncRNA from 1 species